rnacentral:rRNA from 1 species
AUUGAACGCUGGCGGCAGGCUUAACACAUGCAAGUCGAGCGAGCGGCGGACGGGUGAGUAAUGUCUGGGAAACUGCCUGAUGGAGGGGGAUAACUACUGGAAACGGUAGCUAAUACCGCAUACCAUCAGAUGUGAACAGAUGGGAUUGUCUAGUAGGUGGGGUAAUGGCUCCCCUAGGCGACGAUCCCUAGCUGGUCUGAGCGGAUGACCAUCCACACGUGAACUGAGACACGUGCCAGACUCCUACGGGAGGCAGCAGGGGGGAAUAUUGCACAAUGGGCGCAAGCCUGAUGCAGCCAUGCCGCGUGUGUGAAGAAGGCCUUCGGGUUGUAAAGCACUUUCAGCGAGGAGGCGUUACUCGCAGAAGAAGCACCGGCUAACUCCGUGCCAGCAGCCGCGGUAAUUC